GCGAAUUAGGGAGAAAAAUUACCGUAUUCUCUCUAUGAAUUCUUCGAGAACAAUGGAUUCUGUGCAUCGAAACGCAUUCGAUGGUAUCUUAUUGCGAACCCGAGGCAUCGAAUGCAGAAAUUAUUAGCCAGCUGAUACGAAAAUUUCGCAGUUGCCAUUGUAAGUGUUCCAUGUCUGCGAAUAAAGCGUACAAAGGAGCUAAGAAUACGAAAUUGUUUAACACUCGCGUUCGUGUAGGAGCGAUCAAGAUGGCGUCCAUGUUAUCCGCGUCACACUGGCGUUAGUCCAGCAACUAUUUUUCAAUGGACAUCGUGUUUUUUUUCCAUUCUAUACUUAAUCACCGAGAGACGCGAACUGGCGUUUAUACGGUAUACAGUUGUCCCUAACGUUUAUCUAGCCGGAUUCGAACGACGUCGUGGAGCAAAUAGGAAAGAAACAGAAUCGGGGGACUUCCACGGACGGAUCUUUGACCCCCGGGUAAAUAAUAUUUUCGAUCCUCGGUGUCGAUAAAGCACCUCACCGUUUGAUCGUGCUCGCGUCCUCCCAGGAAUCUCUCGAUCUCAUUGUUCGUGGCCAGCAGGGCAGAAAGCGACGCUUCCGGUUUCAAGUUGGCUUGCGCACGACGGACGGACAGGCCUGGCUGCAUCCUGACCGUCCAGGAUACGCUAUCCUCCAUUGUUGCGGCCAGCGUAAUUGGCCGAACACGGAUAAACCGAAGGAAACAAGCGAAAAUUACGCCGAUGGAGAAGGCUUCCCGCGGCGGUCGCCUAGUCUCGGUUGGCGACCAGCAUUAUCCUCCGCGGCGGAAAAUGUCGUCGUACCGGAAGCGAACCACACACCGGGGAACUGGAAGUCGCCGUGGGACCGCUCGGAAACUUGGAAAUAUCGCGUUCCAUGGGAACCGAGCCGCGGCACGCACCUAAACGUGCAUUUUUCCGUUGCGUGCAAACCGCGACCCGCAAAUGACAAGGCUGGUGACUUGCUCGGCAAUCGCGUUCCCGCGAGAUCCGCUCGAACCACGGGAUCGUCGUGGAACUUUUUAAUAAGUUCUGUUCAAGACCUGGAACUUUUUUAAGAAAAAAAAAACGUUCUCAUGCUGCGUACUCCGGCGAGAACAGAUAGGGCAAUUCGCAAUGUGGCGUAACGUUAUACUAUUUGCCGUAGACAGUUCAAGGCGCGAUGCUUUUGCGUUGCGUUUUUCUUCAACGUUCUAAAAUCACUUCUUUGCGAAGAACUUUUGUCACACGGACUCGAAAGCAUCGUCUGUGCCGCGAGAACAGUUUUUUAAAAUAGUUCCCAUACAUACAAAUUGGAUAGACGUGUUACACGGGUUCGAGCGAAGCGUACAAGUCGCAACAGAAUUUGAAUUUCGAUCGCUGCUUCGGGGAACAAAGUAUGAAAGGACGCCGUGAAACGCGAGAUGUGGUAUUCCGUGAACUAGCGGUUCUCUGGAUCGGUCUAUCAGCGGUAUCAUAAAUAUUGCAUGGGAUUGUGAACGGCCUGUCCAACGGCAAUGGGAAAAUCGAAUGCGCGGCGUUUAAUCGCGAAACGAUAUCAGCCAGCAACGAUCGAAAUUAACUAUUCAUCGACUGUUUGCGCCUAUCCGCUUCCGAGCACGUGUGCGACCCACACGCACAGGGCACCGCCCAUGCCUGCAGGAUAGUCGGGAGUUUUAUGAAUCACGAGAGCUAUCUUUCUGGUCAGGUGAGUAACGCGUCGCGUCUGUACCAUAACAAUGGGGAAAGGCAGAUGAAUCCUUCACCCUUUUAUCCGCUUAGAAGGAAGACAGAGCGAACGUUCCUUUCGCGGCGAGCAUUUUGUCACGCGCGGCGUGUUAACGAGUCAUUUGCGUGGCCUUUCACCGGCACAAACGAUCCCAAACAGCGAUCCACGGAUUAGGAAAUCGCGCGCUCUCGCAUAGAGAUCGCUCGUCUGAAAAUAACAAUCGUCCAGAGACGCGAGGGUCUCCCGAAACGCGCGUCCGGCGUUGAAACCGUGCGCUUGAUACGCAUCCAGAAGCCGUGGGCGACCACGGACGUCAUUCGAACUUGCAGCUUCCUCGACGGACCGUCCUUGACGGCCGAGCCGUGUUUCUGCGAGGGCAAAUUGUACGCUCUUCCGUCAGUGUCAAUGCCGAGACAGCGGGGUAUUAUUCGUCCCGCUACCGUAUUACUCCUCUCGGCCUGGAGACAAGAGACCACGGCCAUUUUGCACAAAUUACGCGACAAUCUCGCUUCUUCGGGGCCGGAGAAGACUCCGCCGAGUCUCUGUUGCGCUGACCUUGUUUCGAUUGCAGCGUCGAUUGUUCUAUUGAGAUUCUAAAGAGAUAUUAGAAAACAUUCGAUAUGCGAUUUGCUCGGUUUUACUCGGUCAGGAUCGAUGCAAUUUCAAGCACUCGAAGGUCGAACACAAUCUAAUAGAGAUUUGAAAUUUUUAAGAGGAAUUUCCUGCCAACUUCUGGCAACGUUGCUGGCUGAUUUUAUUGAAGAAAGAUGCUCUUAUCUGUCUUUGGUGAAGCAAGAUUGUAAGAAAAUUUUUUCUAUCAUGCUUUCCACCCUCGAGCUUGGAUCAAUAGAAUCUAAACGAUCACCAACGGUCGUCGAGCAGAAUAUUAUCCACCGAUUCUGAGAACUUGAAACUAUAACGGUGCAGUUCCUAGACGCUUUUACUGUUCCGUCUCAAUCAUUAAUCUCAAACGAUUGUGGUCAGCAGCAAUGCGUUACGUCUCCCGCUUCGCAGAACAGACUCGUUACGAGUCGGAAUAAAAUAAUACCCGUCUGUCAUUAGAUUCAAUGAACAUGAAUUUCUACUUUUUAAAUAAAUAGCCUCCGGGCGUUGCAGCCGCGAAAGAAACGGUACCGCAAUGAACGAAGAAAAAUGAACUGUGCGCGUAACGAUCUAUUUUCGGUGGUUUCUUCGCGUAAAACAUCUCUAGAGAACCGAGAGCGAUUCUUCAACGCCAAUACCGAACAAACGGCGAUAAACAAUUUUUUUCGAGGCGGGCUCCACGCGCGAGGGAGAGAUACAUGUAAUAUUUAGAGUUUUAACAUUUUCAAGCCGGUGCCUGUGGUCUCGAGACGCGUGCCCCCACCCAGGCUCUUUCUAGAGUUAAUCUCGAAGCGGAUAAAUAUUGACGUACCGAGCGAAAUCGGAGGCCGCCUCGGUAAAUAUAUCAACGACUUCCGAGUGGACAGGGUAUUACGAGUGUCGGACGCGUCUGGCGCGUAGCGAAAAAAGAUAUCGCUGAAUCGGUCCGGCUGAAAUAUGGCUGCAACCGCUUCGUCCCGCCGCGGCGGUAAAGAUCGGGUCGUGGAAAAGGAUCGAGCAGCCAGCGGGGAGAUCGGACAGUAGAAAAGGAUCGAGCGGCACGGGCGACCAAGCCGUGUAAUGUAGAUCUUUAUUUAUUCGAGCCGUUACGACCGUCUCAUUAGCCAUGCUACGUCGCUGUCUCUUCCCGCCGAUUAACUUUAUGACGAAUUACGAGUUCGCGGUAGCAUCCGCUGCGGAAAUAAAGGCUAGCCGGGACGAAGCGACUAUUUUCAGGCGCAAAAAGUGGAACGCUCCGAGAAAUUGCGACUUUCUCGCGACCAAAUCGGAUAACAUUAUGUCGCGCGAUCUUCGGACCGAAGAUUUUUCAUUGGAACUUCGUCAAGGUUAUUCUCCCUUGGUCGGCUUCCCGUCGAUGUCGCGCACGGAUAACACGAAUUUUUUUACUAGAUUCGUAAAUUCAUAUUUCUUGCAACAUGUCGUUCACAUUUCACGCAACACAUCCAUAAGAGUCAAAAUUCAUCAUGAUAAAUUUUAACAUUCCGGUCGAAUUGCUCCGAUUUAGUGAACACUAUUCGGUUCGAAUUUCAGCACUUAGCGCGUUCUUUCACAAUUUUAUAGCAAGCCGUCCCAAAAGUUCGUUUCAUUUCUGGCCAAUGCCGAUUAGUUUCUAAUAAACAUAUACAUAUAGCAUAGUCGAGUAUUCGCAAUGCUAGCGCAUUUCAUACUUUUAUACGAACUACGACGUUCGUUCGAGCGUUCCUUGAAACCGUUACGUAGAAUUGUCAGCAUCGCGAAUUGUUUAUCAGAAUCGCAACGAUUCGUGACCUACUCGAAACUAUAGGCGGCCCGAUCUCAAAGAAAACAGCCAAAAUUUCAGGAACCGCGUCCAGUUGUGCCUGCGUAACUUCGAGUUUCGAUCUUGGCAACGGUCGUGUGUGUACGAAACGGCCUGCCGGAAGCUAUUAUUUUCAUUUUGGCUGCUAAUGACCGACCGCUGCGAAGACGAGACCGAGUCGAAACGACGUCCCCUGUACACAAUAAUACCGUCGACGUCGAUUACGUCGAUCGAGCCGUUUGUCUCGCGGACGAGCCACACGAUCUAAUCGAAAUAAUAAUUGCGGAAACAGAACGGAUUGACGAGCGGCGAUCGCGAUAUCCCGCGGGCUGCCGAUAAUACGGUCCGCGCGCUGGUGCCAUUAUUAUUAGAAACGUAAAUAUUAAAGUACGAGCAUCAUCGUUAUUUAUAGCUGUUGCACGAUAUUCGCAAAGCGAAAUACAAGAUCCCGGGUCCAGCAUCAAGGUUCCCCGACACGGUCCAAGAUCGAGGAGAUGACGACCCCGACCAUUUAAAUCGACGCUGAAAAGGAAGAAUUAGAGAUAUCGUGCGUGCCGGACACGUAUUAAAGCCCCACGGGAUAACGUUAACACUGAUCGUUCGAUUCGUAUCCAGAUGAAACGAUCGACAUCCUGUUGUUUUGUUUUUUUCAAUCGUUCAUUUCAACGGAUUUAUUUUUAAUAUGGUUUUACUUAAUGGAAUUUAUGAAGCGUGCAGGAAAAUAGUACAUAUUCAACAGUUACUAAACGGUAUAACUAUCAUUUUUAUUCUUUUGCUCGUCUAGCAUAGAAUUGACAUUAUUAAGUGACUCUGCGGGAAUUUCUAUUUCUCAGAAUAUUUAAUAUAGAUUCUAAACUAUGCCCGCCUAUAUUUUCAACCAGAAAUUUCGAUGACUGAUGAACAGACACCGACUCACGGAUACUACUACAUCGUGUCUGGCUUGUUAAAGUUAUUAAUAGAUGGCGGAUUUGAUGCAUUUAUGAGAGAAAUGGACAAGUGCAAUCGGGAACAAUGAAAACAGUUGGAGAUGUUAAUAAUACUACUACGUUAUUUUCAGCUUACUAAAUUUUUUUAUCGAAGGGAAUACAUAUUUAGUCGACUUUUACAAUUUCUAUUUUGCAUAAAGAUUCGCUAUCCACCUUUGUGAUAAUGACAAGAUUGGAUCUAAUUGAAUAAAGUGGUUUAUGAAAACCACAAGUUCAGUUUACAUAAAGAUCUACAGUGUAAUAACAAAUAUAAUUCAAUUCAAUUCAA